GGGCCCGCACAAGCGGUGGAGUAUGUGGUUUAAUUCGAUGCAACGCGAAGAACCUUACCAGGGCUUGACACCCUGCGAAUCUCUUGGAAACAGGAGAGUGCCUUCGGGAACGCAGUGACAGGUGGUGCAUGGCUGUCGUCAGCUCGUGUCGUGAGGUGUCAGGUUAAGUCCUAUAACGAGCGCAACCCCUGUGGUUAGUUGCCAGCGAGUCAAGUCGGGAACUCUAGCCAGACUGCCGGUGCAAACCGUGAGGAAGGUGGGGAUGACGUCAAAUCAUCACGGCCCUUACGUCCUGGGCCACACACGUGCUACAAUGGUAGGUACAGAGAGCAGCCACGUCGCAAGGCGGAGCGAAUCUAUAAAACCUAAUCACAGUUCGGAUCGGGGUCUGCAACUCGACCCCGUGAAGCUGGAAUCGCUAGUAAUCG
rnacentral:rRNA from 1 species